ensembl:lncRNA
GUUUUCUUGGAAUUCUAGAUAGAAUUAAAGCACAGCUUUCCUAAUCGGGCUGUCAUGUUUUUUCUUUCCUUAGGCGUAUCUGGACAUCAGCUUCGCUUUCGAUCCGGAGAUAGUGCUCCCAGUGGUCAUUAUUCCUCCAGUCCUCGCUGACGGUGUUGCUAGGGGCCUCUAUCCAGCCGGAGCUGCUGGGGGCCCAAGCAACACAGACUUCCCCCCGCCUGCGGUGUCCAUGGGUCCUUGUCCGCCGAGGGAUAUUGGGGGCCCAGUCAACAGAGGCUUCCCUGCUCCUGCUGUGUUUAUGGGUCCUUAUCCUGCAUCCCCACACUCGGGCAGCUACGGAUACCCAGGGGCCCAACAGUAUGCAGCACCACCACCCGCGUACCCAUAUAACCCGUCUGUGAAUGCUGGUCCACCAGGUGUGUACCCUGUGCAGUCUUCACACGUGAAUGGGGGAUACCCUAACCCAGUGCCACAAUUGGCUCCUUAUGGAUCGCCAUUUCCGUCCUCAUCGUCGCCUUCUCUGCUUCACCCUCCGCCUGCUGCCCCAACAUUUCAUCCACCCUCAUCAUCACCUACUGCUCCACCCAUGAGCAUAUCCCCAACUGCUCCUUCAUACAACCCGCCGUCUUCUGCAGCAAUGAUGAACACAGACUUUCUGUCUCAAUCGGAUGAAGCUCCUCCAGCAUAUUCUCUCCUUUUCCCGUCUUCCGCUACUGAGAAGUCUGAUGCCAAAUAAUAGAAACUAUGCUUAAUGACUGAACCAGUUUAUUUUUGAUGUGACGUACUAAUUUAUAUAUAAAUGUGUAAUCUGAUCACCUAGAUUGUGUCUUUAACCCGUAUCUCGCGAAUUUAAACAAAAAUGUCACUGUGCCGUGUGGACUGUUUGCAUGUAAACAAUCAUAUGGGCAAAAGGGAUUUGUGGAUCGUAUCCAAAUGUUGUAUCCUUCUCAGUUACGGUCACUAAUUGGCUUCGUCCAGCUGCUCAAACCUCAUCCGUCCGGAUACGCUGUGUAUGCACACGUGCCUUGCUCAACACAAGAAUCCUCAACAGACAUUUUUUCGAUGGUAUAUAGAAUAUACAGAUUUUCUCAAUCUGCAGUGUGGAGGCUAGUUGAAAGAAACUGGACAACAAGGACUAUAUUAAAAAAUAUUGUCAUAUGUUUACUGUAUAAAGUAAUCAAAUAAGAGGCUAAAUAAGCGAUUUUUAGAUAUAUUGCCCAGUCUGUGCAAUUUAACACCAGACAACUUCUUCGGUCUAUUUCAUCAACACAAUACUAAACAAACCAGGCUUUUUGUUAUACUUGCCAAACUGCUGUGUUUUCUCCGACUUAGAGAUGUAAAUAAAGAAUAGCAAGAGACGGUUA